rnacentral:miRNA from 1 species
CCACCAUUAACUAUAUCAACAACAACAGCAGCAAUAGCAGCAAUAGCAGCAGCAGCAGCAGCAGCAGCAGCAGCAGCAGCAGCAGCAGCAGCAGCAG